rnacentral:snoRNA from 1 species
UGAAUGAUGAUUGAACAAAAACAAAGCUGGAAUUACUGGCUGAACGAUUAUAUGUUGAUACGUUUUUGCACUACUUCUGACU